rnacentral:rRNA from 1 species
AUGGAGGUUGCCAUAUCUGCAGUUGCAGGAGAACUUGUGAGCCGGUUCAUCUCCUUCCUGAUGAACAAGUACUGCUCAAACCAUCAACGCUCGGAGGAGAAGCUAGCGGAGAGACUGCAGCACCUCCUGAUGAGAGUCGGCACCGUUGUCGAGGAGGCGGAUGCACGGUACAUAGUCAACUGUGGGAUGAUUACGCAGCUAAAGAUGCUCUCUGAGGCCAUGUACAGAGGACACCGCGUGGUGGACACCUUGAGGUACAAAACCCAUCAAGAGAGUGAAGGCUUCAAUGAGGUUAGCAUCAACGACUCAUCUAGCAGCUUGUAUUUAGCCAUUCGUUUCAAGCGUUCUCGAACAGCAACUGAGAAGGAAGACAAGGCAAUGCGCCUUGAGUCACAUGAUGCCUUGGAAAGCUUAGAAAUUGCUGUUGCUAACAUGGCAGAAUUUGUUGUGCUUCUGGGUGGAUGUGAGCGCAUGUCUCGUAGGCCGUACGACAUUUAUCUUUAUACCGACAACUUCAUGUUCGGCCGACAAGCUGAGAAGCAAAAGCUUUUGAGCUUCUUGUUGCAUCACAACCCUCCUGGUGAUGCACCAGCAGUUCUUCCAAUCAUAGGUGGUGUCAGGGUUGGGAAGAAAACUUUGGUUGCUCAUGUGUGUGGUGAUGAAAGGGUUCGCUCGUGCUUCUCUUCUGUUUUGCACCUGAAUGGGGAUAGCCUCUUGAGAGUAUUUGACCAUGGAAGUACCACGUUUGGGGUGAAGAUGUUGGUAGUUAUUGAGUUUGAUUCUGAUGUAUGUGAUGACGACUGGAAAGUUUUUCACUCAUUUGCCAUAAGAAUGUGCAGAGGAAGCAAGAUCAUCAUCUUAAGUAGAAUACAAAGAUUAGCCCGAUUUGGAUCGGUGAAACCGAUUCUCCUAAGUGUUCUGUCUUAUGAUGAGUUGAGCUACCUUUUUAAGAAAAUGGCAUUCGGGAGCGUAGACCCGGCAGAACAUCCACGGCUAGUACAAAUAGCAGAUGAAGUUACCAAGGAGUUGCACAAGCAAGGUUCACUUAUCGCCGCAAAUGCGUAUGCAGGUGUGUUGAGAAGGAAUCUUGAUGUACAGUUUUGGCGUUGCAUAUUGGACAAGGGGACAAGAUACACUAAAAGAAACCUGUUCCUACACGGUGCGCACCCAAGCAUGCUCAUAGAACAAGGCCAUCCAAUGGACAUAACGGACAUUGCUUUGCAUCCACUUAGCAUGACACCUUAUACAAGUAAUGUUCCAAUCAAGGAGGAAUCACCAAGUGUGACAUUGGCGGAACUUCUAGCAGAUCCUAGUGUUAGACCAGAAGGAGACUUCAACCUAAUUGUAUGUGAAUCAAGGAUACCCCCUCAUGAAUCAUUUGUUCAUUUUGUUACAAGUCAUGCUCAGGACGCACAUGAAGUUGGUGCCUUGCCAGGGAGGAAGCGACGGGGCGUGCCUAUCUAA